GCCCCGGUAGCCCAAUGGCAGAGGCAACGGUCUCAAACACCGUCCAGUGUCGGUUCGAAUCCGACCCGGGGUA
rnacentral:tRNA from 1 species